rnacentral:rRNA from 1 species
UACAUGUGGGGCAAGCGUUGUUCGGAAUUACUGGGCGUAAAGCGUGCGCAGGCGGUUUUGUAAGACAGGUGUGAAAUCCCCGGGCUUAACCUGGGAACUGCAUUUGUGACUGCAAGCUGGAGUGCGGCAGAGGGGGAUGGGAAUUCCGCGUGUAGCAGUGAAAUGCGUAGAUAUGCGGAGGAACACCGAUGGCGAAGGCAAUCCCCUGGGCCUGCACUGACGCUCAUGCACGAAAGCGUGGGGAGCAAACAGG